rnacentral:misc_RNA from 1 species
CCCAUAAUGGGAAAUGAUUAUGACACCGAUAAAUUAGAAAUUCUAGCUGAAGUUGCUUUGCAGUGCGUAGAGGAAGACAGAGAUGCAAGACCCAACAUGGGCCAAGUAGUUGAGAUGCUUUUGCGUGAUGAAAAUCAUCCUUAACUACAGAGGCCCUGCUUCUACUAAUUUCUUGAGUCUUAGUUUUUCUUUGUAUGUUGACUUGGCUAUAAUUUGCUUUCUCUCUUCCUGCCUAGAUAAUGCAUUAUGUCUAUCCGAAGCAACAAUUGGGAUGAGAUCGAUGAGUCUCAGAUGUACAAUAAAUAAUUUGCUUUAGGAAUGCUUUUAUGUUUUAUCCUAUUUACAUGUAUUAAUCUGAUGACGCAUAUGGAGCUACAAAAUAUUACUUGGAGCUUUAAGAAAUCAGUGGAUUUUGAGCUCUAAAUAGG